rnacentral:tRNA from 1 species
CAUAAGAUAGCUUAAAGUAAGUAAUGGUCUCUUAAACCAAAUUAUAAUAUAUUAACACAUAUUUCUUAUGA